rnacentral:rRNA from 1 species
GUGUCAGCAGCCGCGGUAAUACAGAGGGUGCAAGCGUUGUCCGGAAUCACUGGGCGUAAAGGGCGCGUAGGCGGCCUGAUAAGUCGGGGGUGAAAUUCUGCGGCUUAACCGCAGGACGGCCUUCGAGACUGUCGGGCUUGAGCACGGUAGAGGCUGGUGGAAUUCCCGGUGUAGCGGUGGAAUGCGUAGAGAUCGGGAAGAACAUCGGUGGCGAAGGCGGCCAGCUGGGCCGUUGCUGACGCUGAGGCGCGACAGCGUGGGGAGCAAACAGGAUUAGAAACCCUCGUAGUCC